GGGGAUUUAGCUCAGUGGUAGAGCGCUUGCCUAGCAAGCACAAGGACCUGGGUUUGGUCCCCAGCUCCG
rnacentral:tRNA from 1 species